GUGGGGUGUCCCGGAUCCAGGGCUGUGUACCCCAGUGCCCUGGGCUCCAGGCCUGCGCAGAUGGAAUCCUGCUCCCAGGCCCUGCAGCCCCUC
rnacentral:pre_miRNA from 1 species